rnacentral:lncRNA from 1 species
CAUCAUAAGGUCGAGCUUCUCAAGCUCCUCUAGGUCCUUAAUCAUAGUCAAAUAGUGAUCAUGGAUCAACUAUCUCUCACACAUUUUGGAGUUGAAGAGUCUCUUUGAUACUUCAAAAUGUACAGUACGGCUCUGCUUACCAUACAACUCUUAUAGGUGAGUGAUCAUAGCCCUGACUAUUGGUAUGUGCUCAUGCUGGCUCUACAACUCAUUUAUCAUCAAAGCCAGUAUGUAG